rnacentral:rRNA from 1 species
GUGGGGAAUAUUGGACAAUGGGCGAAAGCCUGAUCCAGCCAUGCCGCGUGUGUGAAGAAGGUCUUCGGAUUGUAAAGCACUUUAAGUUGGGAGGAAGGGCAUUAACCUAAUACGUUAGUGUUUUGACGUUACCGACAGAAUAAGCACCGGCUAACUUCGUGCCAGCAGCCGCGGUACUACGAAGGGUGCAAGCGUUAAUCGGAAUUACUGGGCGUAAAGCGCGCGUAGGUGGUUCGUUAAGUUGGAUGUGAAAGCCCCGGGCUCAACCUGGGAACUGCAUCCAAAACUGGCGAGCUAGAGUACGGUAGAGGGUGGUGGAAUUUCCUGUGUAGCGGUGAAAUGCGUAGAUAUAGGAAGGAACACCAGUGGCGAAGGCGACCACCUGGACUGAUACUGACACUGAGGUGCGAAAGCGUGGGGAGCAAACAGGAUUAGAUACUGGUAGUCC